GGAGUCUGGUCCGUGUCUCAGUACCAGUGUGGGGGACCUUCCUCUCAGAACCCCUAAGGAUCGAUGGCACGGUGGGCCGUUACCCCGCCGUCUACCUAAUCCCACGCAUCCCCAUCCAUGACCGAUGAAUCUUUACUGCAAUUCUGAUGCCAUCGUCGCAGAACAUCAGGUAUUAGGCUCCCUUUCGGAAGGUUAUCCCUGAGUCAUGGGCAGGUUGGAUACGCGUUACUCACCCGUGCGCCGGUCGCCAUCACAGAUAGCAAGCUACCUGCAUGCUGCCCCUCGACUUGCAUGUGUUAAGCCUGUAGCUAGCGUUCAUC
rnacentral:rRNA from 1 species